GAUGAACGCUGGCGGCGUGCCUAACACAUGCAAGUCGAACGGUCACUCUUGGAUUCGUCUGAGGGUGAGAGUGGCGAACUGGUGAGUAACACGUAGGUGACCUGCCCCGGAGAGGGGAAUAACUGCUGGAAACGGUGGCUAAUACCCCAUGUGCUUGGCGAUUCGAUUCGUCAAGUAAAGCGCCUUGGUAACGAGGUAACGCUCCGGGAGGGGCCUGCGGCCCAUCAGGUAGUUGGUAGGGUAACGGCCUACCAAGCCGAUGACGGGUAGGGGGCGUGAGAGUGCGAUCCCCCACACUGGCACUGAGACACGGGCCAGACUCCUACGGGAGGCAGCAGUGAGGAAUAUUGCCCAAUGGACGCAAGUCUGAGGCAGCAACGCCGCGUGCGCGAUGAAGGCCUUCGGGUUGUAAAGCGCUUUUCCGAGGGAAGAGAGAGGACGGUACCUCAGGAAUAAGUCACGGCUAACUACGUGCCAGCAGCCGCGGUAAUACGUAGGUG
rnacentral:rRNA from 1 species